GACGAACGCUGGCGGCGUGCUUAACACAUGCAAGUCGAGCGAUGAAGUUUUUUCGGAAAUGGAUCAGCGGCGAACGGGUGAGGAACACGUGAAGAAUCUGCCCUCCACUUUGGGAUAACACAGGGAAACCUGUGCUAAUACCGAAUAUUGAAACAUAAGUGGCAUCACUGAGUUUUGAAAGAAUUUCGGUGGAGGAUGACUUCGCGGCCUAUCAGCUAGUUGGUGAGGUAAUGGCUCACCAAGGCAACGACGGGUAGCCGGCCUGAGAGGGCGACCGGCCACACUGGGACUGAGACACGGCCCAGACUCCUACGGGGGGCAGCAGUGGGGAAUAUUGGGCAAUGGAGGAAACUCUGACCCAGCGACGCCGCGUGCGGGAUGAAGGCCUUCGGGUUGUAAACCGCUUUCAGUAGGGAAGAAGCGAAAGUGACGGUACCUACAAAAGAAGCACCGGCUAACUAUGUGCCAGCAGCCGCGGUAA
rnacentral:rRNA from 1 species